GAACCGUACGAACGUUAUUCGGAAUUACUGGGCUUAAAGGGUGCGUAGGCGGCUUGGAAAGUUGGGUGUGAAAGCCCUCGGGCUCAACCGAGGGAAUGGCGCCCAAAACUGCCAGGCUUGAGGGAGACAGAGGUGAGUGGAACUUAGGGUGGAGCGGUGAAAUGCGUUGAUAUCCUAAGGAACACCAGUGGCGAAAGCGACUCACUGGGUCUCUUCUGACGCUGAGGCACGAAAGCUAGGGGAGCGAACGGGAUUAGAUACCCCGGUAGUCCUAGCUGUAAACGAUGAGCACUGGGUCGGAGAGCCUUCCAUAGCUUUCCGGCCGAAGCGAUAGUGUUAAGUGCUCCGCCUGGGGAGUAUGGUCGCAAAGGCUG
rnacentral:rRNA from 1 species